GACGUAGGGCGCGAGCGUUGUCCGGAUUUAUUGGGCGUAAAGAGCGUGUAGGCGGUUUGGUAGGUCCGCUGUGAAAACUCGAGGCUCAACCUCGAGACGCCGGUGGAAACCAUCAGGCUAGAGUCCGGAAGAGGAGAGUGGAAUUCCUGGUGUAGCGGUGAAAUGCGCAGAUAUCAGGAAGAACACCCGUGGCUAAGGCGGCUCUCUAGUACGGUACUGACGCUGAGACGCGAAAGCGUGGGGAGCGAACCGG
rnacentral:rRNA from 1 species